UGCCUGUACCAUAACCGACACAGGUGGGUAAGUAGAGUAUACUAAGGGGCGCGAGAUAACUCUCUCUCUAAGGAACUCGGCAAAAUAACUCCGUAACUUCGGGAGAAGGAGUGCCUUAUUCUUAAGGUUGCAAUAACAAGAUCCAAGCAACCGUUUAUCAAAAACACAGGUCUCCGCUAAGUCGUAAGACGAUGUAUGGGGGCUGACGCCUGCCCAGUGCCAGAAGGUUAAAGAAGUCGGUUAGCAAUAGCAAAGCUGGUAACUGAAGCCCUGGUGAACGGCGGCCGUAACAAUAACGGUCCUAAGGUAGCGAAAUUCCUUGUCGGGUAAGUUCCGACCCGCACGAAAGGCGUAAUGAUUUGGAUGCUGUCUCGGAGAGGGGCUCGGUGAAAUAGACUUGUCUGUGAAGAUGCGGACUACCUGCACCAGGACAGAAAGACCCUAUGAAGCUUUACUGUAACUUGAAAUUGAAAUUGGACUUUAUUCGCGCAGUAUAGGUGGGAGGCGUUGAUUAUAAUCUUGUGGGAUUAUUGGAGCCAUCAGUGAGAUACCACUCUUGUAAUGUUAGAUUUCUAACUUUGAAUCAUUAUCUGGUCAAAGGACAGUUUCAGGCGGGCAGUUUGACUGGGGCGGUCGCCUCCUAAACGGUAACGGAGGCGUACAAAGGUUUCCUCUGAACGGUUAGAAAUCGUAUCUAGAGUGUAAAGGCAUAAGGAAGCUUGACUGUGAGACCUACAAGUCGAUCAGGGACGAAAGUCGGUCUUAGUGAUCUGACGGUACUGAGUGGAAAGGCCGUCACUCAACGGAUAAAAGUUACUCUAAGGAUAACAGGCUGAUCUCCCCCAAGAGUUCACAUCGACGGGGAGGUUUGGCACCUCGAUGUCGGCUCAUCGCAUCCUUGGGCGGUAGUACGUCCCAAGGGUUGGGCUGUUCGCCCAUGAAAGCGGUACGCGAGCUGGGUUCAGAACGUCGUGAGACAGUUCGGUCCAUAUCCGGUGUAGGCGCUAGAAUAUUGAGAGGAGCCUUCUUUAGUACGAGAGGACCGAGAAGGACAUACCUCUGGUGUACCAGUUAUCGUGCCAACGGUAAACGCUGGGUAGCUAUGUAUGGAGUGGAUAACCGCUGAAAGCAUCUAAGUGGGAAGCCCACCUCAAGAUAAGUAUUCUCAUCACGUAAGUGAGUAAGGUCACGGUAAGACUAACCGUUUGAUAGGCAUUAAGUGUAAGUACAGUAGUGUAUGUGCUGAGAUGUCCUAAUAGACCGAGGAC
rnacentral:rRNA from 1 species